AGAGAGAGACAUGCGCGCAUAUCAAUAAGCGGAGGAAAAGAAACUAUACAAGGAUUCCCCUAGUAACGGCGAGUGAAGCGGGAAGAGCUCAAAUUUGAAAUCUUCAAGGUUUCUACCUUGACGAAUUGUAGUUUAAAGAAGUGUUUUCGGUUAGAGGAGUAGUAAAAGUUCUUUGGAAUAAGGACAUCAUAGAGGGUGAGAAUCCCGUAUUUGACCAUUAUUUUCCAGCUGUGUGAUACACUUUCAAAGAGUCGGAUUGUUUGGGAAUGCAGUCCAAAAUGGGUGGUAAAUUUCAUCUAAAGCUAAAUAUUGGCGAGAGACCGAUAGCGAACAAGUACCGUGAGGGAAAGAUGAAAAGAACUUUGAAAAGAGAGUUAAACAGUACGUGAAAUUGUCAAAAGGGAAGCGUUUGACACCAGUGUUGUUUUUUCCGAAAAUCAAUUACGAAUGUUUUGUUUUUGAGGAGUUAUGACUUCAUCGGCUUGCUCCUUUCUUUAUGGAACUUUCUUAAUGCACUUUUCGGUUAACAAGUCAACAUCAAUUUCUUUUGUUGUAAAAGAGUAUGAGGAAGGUGGCUUUCUUUUCGGAGAAAGUGUUUAUAGCCUUGUACUUCUGCAAUCGGAGAGAUUGAGGUCUGCAGCGUAGAUCCUUCGGGGUUAGAUACAUUUGUGCUAAGUUAUAGCCUUUCAUAGACAACUUGUUGACUAUGAUCAGUCAUGUAGCUUACUCGCUUAUGCUAUUUUACCUACGCUUAGGAUGUUGACAGCAGUAUAGACUGU
rnacentral:rRNA from 1 species